GCCAAAACUGAGCUGUCAAAGACAAAUGAUGCUACCAUUAUUGAACAUACUGAAAUUGAAGACAAAUUUCCACAGAAGGUUGCUCAUGCUUCUGAAUUCGUUAUGCAAACACCUAAUGUUACAUCUGAAAAUAAUUUUGUACUAGAUCGUAUAACCACAACUGCUGCACCUCAGGCAAUCUCUCCUUUAACAUCUUCCAGACAAAACCAAUCUUGCCUCAGAAAUAUUCCCUCUGUAAUUGAAAGGUCUGACAGAGCACGAAAAAAUGUGGCAUCAAUAUCUCAAAUGAAUUAUAUGCUGCAACAAAGUCAAACUUCAUUUUGUUCAAUGAAACCACGAUGGUCCUCGGUAGUAGAUCAAGAACUAUUACGUGCAAAAGAUCUGAUCGAGAAUACGCCUCUCUUACAGAGCGAGCCUCGAUUAUAUGCCCCUCUAUUUAGAAAUCUGUCCAUGUUUAAAAGGAGUUAUGAAUUGAUGGAGAAG
rnacentral:misc_RNA from 1 species